GACGAACGCUGGCGGCGUGCUUAACACAUGCAAGUCGAACGAUGAAGCCGGAGCUUGCUCCGGUGGAUUAGUGGCGAACGGGUGAGUAACACGUGAACAAUCUGCCCUUGACUCUGGGAUAACUGCGGGAAACUGUAGCUAAUACCGGAUACGACACCUUGGGGCAUCCCAGGGUGUGGAAAGAAUUUCGGUCAAGGAUGAGCUCGCGGCCUAUCAGCUAGUUGGUGAGGUAAUGGCUCACCAAGGCGACGACGGGUAGCCGGCCUGAGAGGGUGACCGGCCACACUGGAACUGAGACACGGUCCAGACUCCUACGGGAGGCAGCAGUGGGGAAUAUUGCACAAUGGGCGCAAGCCUGAUGCAGCAACGCCGCGUGAGGGAUGAAGGCCUUCGGGUUGUAAACCUCUUUUAGUAGGGAAGAAGCGAAAGUGACGGUACCUACAGAAAAAGCACCGGCUAACUACGUGCCAGCCGCCGCGGUAA
rnacentral:rRNA from 1 species